rnacentral:rRNA from 1 species
UACGUAGGGUGCGAGCGUUAAUCGGAAUUACUGGGCGUAAAGCGUGCGCAGGCGGCGCGUUAAGACAGGUGUGAAAGCCCCGAGCUUAACUUGGGAAUUGCGCUUGUGACUGGCGUGCUGGAGUGUGGCAGAGGGAGGUGGAAUUCCACGUGUAGCAGUGAAAUGCGUAGAGAUGUGGAGGAACACCGAUGGCGAAGGCAGCCUCCUGGGCCAGCACUGACGCUCAGCACGAAAGCGUGGGGAGCAAACAGG